AAUAAAUAAUAUAAGAUUUUGAUUACUUCCACCAUCUUUAAAUUUUCUUCUAUUAAGAAGAUUAGUAGAAAGAGGAACAGGAACUGGUUGAACUGUCUAUCCCCCACUUGCAAGAACAGUAGGGCAUAUAGGAAGUUCUGUAGAUUUAUCAAUUUUUUCUCUUCAUAUAGCUGGUAUCUCUUCUAUUUUAGGAGCUAUUAAUUUUAUUACUACUUGUAUAAGAAUAAAACCAAUAGGUAUAAAUUUAGAUCAAAUACCCUUAUUUGUUUGAUCAGUUUUAAUUACUGCAUUAUUACUUCUCUUAUCUUUACCAGUCUUAGCCGGAGCUAUUACAAUAUUAUUAACAGAUCGUAAUCUUAAUACAUCUUUUUUUGACCCUGCCGGGGGAGGAGACCCUAUUCUAUAUCAACAUUUAUUUUGAUUUUUUGGACAUCCUGAAGUUUAUAUUUUAAUUUUACCUGGAUUCGGAAUAAUUUCUCAUGUAAUUAGACAUGAAAGAGGAAAAAAAGAAACUUUUGGCUCACUAAGAAUAAUUUAUGCUAUAUUAACUAUUGGUCUUUUAGGAUUUAUUGUAUGAGCUCAUCAUAUAUUUACAGUCGGUUUAGAUGUUGAUACUCGAGCUUAUUUUACUUCUGCAACUAUAAUUAUUGCUAUUCCCACAGGAAUUAAAAUUUUUAGAUGACUUGCUACACUUCAAGGAAUAAACUUAAAAUUUAAUGWUUCACUAKAANGAACAAACUCGAUAUCUUACUCAAAAAUUAU
rnacentral:rRNA from 1 species